rnacentral:lncRNA from 1 species
CUGAAAAAAAUUGUAUGUGCAUUUCAAAGCUGCGUAAAAAAUUAUGCGGAUCUCACGGACUGUGGGAAUCGAUGUAAGCGAAGCUUUCUGUGCUGUUUCCUUCGACUGA